rnacentral:rRNA from 1 species
GACGAACGCUGGCGGCGUGCCUAACACAUGCAAGUCAACUUGACUGAAGGAGCAAUCUGACAGUAGAGUGGCGCAAGGGUGCGUAACGCGUAAGUAACUUGCCCCAAGGUAAGGAAUAACGUCGAGAAAUCGGCGCUAAUACCUCAUAAUGCAGCGGAUCCGCAUGGAUAUGUUGUUAAAGGUUUACCGCCUUGGGAUAGGCUUGCGUCUGAUUAGUUAGUUGGUGUGGUAAACGGCACACCAAGGCUACGAUCAGUAACUGGUCUGAGAGGAUGAUCAGCCACACUGGAACUGAGACACGGUCCAGACUCCUACGGGAGCAGCAGUGAGGAAUAUUGGGCAAUGCUCGAAAGAGUGACCCAGCAACGCCGCGUGGAGGAUGAAGGUAUCCUAUAUCGUAAACUCCUGUGAGAGCAGACGAAAGACAGA